UACAGUAGUAACUGGCUGUACCUUAAGAUUCGGUACCUUAUUAGAAAGCCACGGCUAACUACGUGCCAGCAGCCGCGGUAAUGGAGCCAGCAGCCGCGGUAAUACGGGAGCCAGCAGCCGCGGUAAUACAUUUGGGAGGCCCCAGCACGGUAAUACGGGAGCC
rnacentral:rRNA from 1 species